AUUGAACGCUGGCGGCAGGCCUAACACAUGCCAGUCGAGCGGAUGAAGGGAGCUUGCUCCUGGAUUCAGCGGCGGACGGGUGAGUAAUGCCUAGGAAUCUGCCUGGUAGUGGGGGAUAACGUCCGGAAACGGGCGCUAAUACCGCAUACGUCCUGAGGGAGAAAGUGGGGGAUCUUCGGACCUCACGCUAUCAGAUGAGCCUAGGUCGGAUUAGCUAGUUGGUGGGGUAAAGGCCUACCAAGGCGACGAUCCGUAACUGGCCUGAGAGGAUGAUCAGCCACACUGGAACUGAGACACGGUCCAGACUCCUACGGGAGGCAGCAGUGGGGAAUAUUGGACAAUGGGCGAAAGCCUGAUCCAGCCAUGCCGCGUGUGUGAAGAAGGUCUUCGGAUUGUAAAGCACUUUAAGUUGGGAGGAAGGGCAGUAAGUUAAUACCUUGCUGUUUUGACGUUACCAACAGAAUAAGCACCGGCUAACUUCGUG
rnacentral:rRNA from 1 species